rnacentral:rRNA from 1 species
AGGGGCAUCAGGGUGUAGCAAUACACCGCUGGCGACCGGCGCACGGGUGAGUAACACGUAUCCAACCUGCUCUUUACUCGGGGAUAGCCUUUCGAAAGAAAGAUUAAUACCCGAUGGCAUAACAUGACCUCCUGGUUUUGUUAUUAAAGAAUUUCGGUAGAGGAUGGGGAUGCGUUCCAUUAGGCAGUUGGCGGGGUAACGGCCCACCAAACCUUCGAUGGAUAGGGGUUCUGAGAGGAAGGUCCCCCACAUUGGAACUGAGACACGGUCCAAACUCCUACGGGAGGCAGCAGUGAGGAAUAUUGGUCAAUGGACGAGAGUCUGAACCAGCCAAGUAGCGUGAAGGAUGAAGGUCCUACGGAUUGUAAACUUCUUUUAUAAGGGAAUAAAACCUCCCACGUGUGGGAGCUUGUAUGUACCUUAUGAAUAAGCAUCGGCUAACUCCGUGCCAGCAGCCGCGGUAAUACGGAGGAUGCGAGCGUUAUCCGGAUUUAUUGGGUUUAAAGGGAGCGCAGACGGGUCGUUAAGUCAGCUGUGAAAGUUUGGGGCUCAACCUUAAAAUUGCA